rnacentral:lncRNA from 1 species
AAGUCAUAAACCCCGCCCAUUUGUACAAUUUCUCUUCUGGGUUUUUAAACUUAACCACACUGAUAACUCAAUGCCUAACCCUAACCUUAAAUUAAGACCAAAAAGCAAUUGUUGUUUUAAUGAAUUUUUAUGAUAUAGCCACUCUGACUUUGUGGUUGCAGUAACUAGUGGAAACCACAAAAAAAACAUGCCUCGACCCGGAAGAACAUGUGACCUAUGCCGAUCGAGUUGUUUCAGGUCAGUCGGACAACAACACUGCUAACAGCACUAGCUACACUUAUUUUGUAGCUAACGUGACAAAGCGCUAGGCCAACAGCGCGUAUUUACGAAGAUUUGUAAGUGCGUUGUGAUUUCGACAAAAAUGUCAGUUUUGCAAGGACAGAUUAGCUCCAUUUUGGAGAUAAUGGUUAGCGCGACUGUUACAGAAAUUAGCAAAGUAAUCGAGGGUUCUGCCUCGUCUGAAGUGCCAACAACGGGAGAUAACGCGAGUGAAGCCCCAAACGAACAGUUGACCCAGUUGACCUCAUUCAUGGAGAUGCUGGCAAAGGAGGCUGUGGACCAAAUCUGCAAGCUAUUCAACGAGUGCUCCUCCGUUCUGCAUCUGGAAGUGUCUCGGAGUCAAACUGAGAAUGAGGACUUGAAGAAGAGGCUAGAUGCGUUUGAGACCAAACUGAGGACUGUCUUAGAAGGGAGUGGAGGACAAGAGAACACAUCAGCCAAUGGCUGCUGCAGUGAAGUCAAGAUCAUCCACCAGUUAAAAGGCACACAACCAGGCGUAUGCGUUGGUGAUGCAGAAGUGAAACGAUCCCCCAUCCUCCACCUGUGGAAGGGGAGACUUCCCUCAACUGUAAACGAGUUUCACCUGCAAUGCUUUUCCAAGAGUCUUGAAGGAGUUCCCACAUGCUGAGCACUUGUUGGCUGCUUUUCCUUCACUCUGCGGUCCAACUCAUCCCAAACCAUCUCAAUUGGGUUGAGAUCGGGUGAUUGUGGAGGACAGGUAAUCUGAUGCAGCUCUCCAUCAGUCCUCAUGAGAGCCAGUUUCAUCAUAGCGCUUGAUGUUUUUUGGGACUGCACUUGAAGAAACUUUCAAAGUUCUUGAAAUUUUUCCGCAUUCACUGACCUUCAAAUCUUAAAGUAAUGUUGGACUGUUGUUUCUCUUUGCUUAUUUGAGCUGUUCUUGCCAUAAUAUGGACUUGGUCUUUUACCAAAUAGGGCCAUCUUAUGUAGAUCACCCCUACCUUGUUACAACACAACUUAUUGGCUGAAAUGCAUUAAGGGAAGAAAUUCUACAAAUUAACAAGGCACACCUGUUAAUUGAAAUGCAAUCCAGGUG